AGUAGGAUGACUGAGAUAUUAGGUAUUAAAUUGUAAAUUUAAAUAGAGGUAUUAUACCUUCUUACUA
rnacentral:tRNA from 1 species